GGGAAUAAUAUGAAAUUUCCCCAACAAUUCCCCUCUUUUGAUCAUAAUGAAACCCAUUUCAUAUUGAUCACAUCAGAAAAGAAAAUUUCAUAAGAUUAAAGCAUAAAAGGAAAAACACAAGAAUGCAUCAAACAAGGAUAACCACUGGAGCAGAGUUGUACAGUGGAUAAAAAAGGAGAACACCACAAUCAACUAGUGAACCCAAAACUCUUACGGUGUCAUCAACCCGCUAAUGAACACAUAAAAACAAAGAAACAAAACAUUGGAAACAAAAUGGGCAGA